UUCUUAUCCAGAGAGGCGGAGGGACUGGCCCUUUGAAGCCCGGCAACCAUCCUGCUGAUGUGAAUCAGUGUGAACGGUGCCAAUUCCUGUAGAAUGGAUAUCCAUUCUAAGAGAUGAGAG
rfam:Salimicrobium jeotgali strain MJ3 Contig3, whole genome shotgun sequence.